AUGACCGAAGCUUCAAGACUUUGACAUGUGUGAAAACAUGAAAUGACCCUUGGCUCUUAUUGUUCUUGCUGGUGUGGUAUGUUCACGGCUGAAAAGAUGGUCAGAAGGGGAAAGGAGGAAGUGAGAAGAAAGAAACAGGGAAAUGGCUGGAGUGCGAUGGCAUGAUCUUGGCUCACGGCAAACUCCGCCUCCCUGGUUCAAGUGAUUCUCCUGCCUCAGCCUCCCGAGUAGCCGGGAUUACAGGCAUGUGCCACCAUGCCCCGUUGGCCAGGCUGGUCUCGAACACCUUACCUCAGGUGAUCCUCCCACCUUUGGGAUUACAGGCUGAGGAAUUACCAAGGAGGCAGGAGGUGGAGCAAAACACACCAAGCCUGGUGCCAAUCAUUGACAAUAUUAUGACCCUGCAUGUGAUGGAUCAGCUGACACCAUCCAGAUCGGUAAACUGGUUCAUCUGAUCUUGUGCCCUCCACCCAGGAACUGACUCAGCGCAAGAAGACAGCUUCGACUCCUUGUGAUUUCAUCCCUAACCAAUCAGCACUCCUGGCUCACUGGCUUCCCCCAACCCACCAAAUUGUCCUUAAAAACUCUGCUCUCCAAACGCUGGGGGAGACUGAUUUGAGUAAUAAUAAAACCCUGGUCUCCUGCACAGUUGGCUCUGCGUGAAUUACUCUUUCUCUAUUCCAAUUCCCUUAUUUUGGUGAAUUGGCUCUGUCUACGCAGUGGGCAAGGUGAACCCCUUAGGCGGUUACAUGGUUAUUGCCCCUUUUUUUUCCUUCCUUC
rnacentral:lncRNA from 1 species